rnacentral:rRNA from 1 species
GUGGGGAAUAUUGGGCAAUGGGCGAAAGCCUGACCCAGCAACGCCGCGUGAAGGAAGAAGGUCUUCGGAUCGUAAACUUCUAUCCUUGGUGAAGAUAAUGACGGUAGCCGAGAAGGAAGCCCCGGCUAACUACGUGCCAGCAGCCGCGGUAAUACGUAGGGGGCAAGCGUUGUCCGGAAUGAUUGGGCGUAAAGGGCGCGUAGGCGGCCUGGUAAGUCUGGAGUGAAAGUCCUGCUUUUAAGGUGGGAAUUGCUUUGGAUACUGUCGGGCUUGAGUGCAGGAGAGGUAAGUGGAAUUCCCGGUGUAGCGGUGAAAUGCGUAGAGAGCGGGAGGAACACCAGUGGCGAAGGCGACUUACUGGACUGUAACUGACGCUGAGGCGCGAAAGUGUGGGGAGCAAACAGGAUUAGAAACCCGGGUAGUCC